UGAUCAAAACCCUCAGGGCGCCAUUGAGAUGGGACACCUAUCCGACGGUGGUCCAUGUGCAAUCUGAGGACCAUCUGACUGCAAUUUACAUAUUCCGAUGGCAGCAAAAUGGAAUCCAAAACAAUUUGAGCACAUACAAAGGGAACCGCGAGAUGGAUCUUGCACGGCAAAGUCUGCCGGUAUGACCUGCACGUGCCACGUGCUAUCAAAACCAAAAGCUCUGUGCGCAUGCUGCUGCAAAUCUGAACAGGCUGUUAUAUCCACAAUAGAUGUUACAGUACAGAUAUUUGUCCAUUCCUUCCCAUGGGCCACGUAAAUAAUGUGAAUAUUGUCUGUAUCAUAUCCAUGUAUAACACGAGCAGCUGUGCCUCUCUGUGGUGCCCAGUAACACAUCAUUGCAUCCGUCAGACUCAGAGAUGAACGGAUCUAACCGCUGUAAUAUAUGAUCACCUUCUAACUCUGUAGGAGAUAUGACAUGGAACUGUUGUGUCAGGCCAUGACAGAAUUGAUAAACAUGAAUCUCACCUCCAACAGCUGUCCAGGAGUGUUUCACGGUGCAGAUGUGGAUGUGGGGCCGAAACCGCAGCCUGUGGUUAAAAUCAUCUCACCCAACAUAAAAAAAUUAUUCCCAAGUGAUAAUCCAACCAUCACAGUGUCCUGAGUUGCGCUGUGCUCAUGAAGUGGGCUCUGUCUGACGCAGGGGACAGCAUGGCACACUGCCAGCAAACUUUCAGUGAAGCUGUUCAGUGGAACUGAGCGCGUGUAUCCCACGGCUCAUGAAGCGUUAUGCACACACAUACACACACAGAGACAUGGCUGAGUGAUAAUUACAGCCCCACACGUGUGCGCAGAGCACACGUGCAUGACGAAAACAGUGCUCCAGUCCCGUGUUUGCCAUCCAGACAUUUGGACAUCGGGCAGGCUUCAGCGCUUUUUAUGGCCAUUUGACAGCAGUCUGUGUCAUCUAACUGUUGUUCACAUGCGCUUUGGAUGCCAUCAUGCAGGUGUGAACGAGGUGAUCCAGAUGCGUUCUGACAUGGCUGUCCACACCUCUUUUCCGCUCGACUGAGGCGGAUUAUGGUAACAUUUGCCAAUUUCGGGGUAUAGUUCCUGCGCAUUGUUGCUAUGUGUGACGGGGCUUCACUUUUAAACCAACAUGAAUUCAUGAGCGCAAGUGUACAUGCUAAUUAAAGAAUGUAGACUUUGGCCAUCAAAAUGUGACAAUUGUACAUGGUGGAAACUAGCAGUGAGACUAGCACUGUGCUGUAUGUCUCUUUGCACCAGGUGUAAGAUAGGGCCCAUUAACUGAUGCAACACUGAUUUAGAUGACUAAAAAUGAUGUUGCAGAGGAGGUUGAUGUAGCAAAUGAACAACUGACGCAACUUACCAGGCUUUUUUUUUCCCCUAUGGUGCGCAAACUGCGACUUCACAAGCUGCUUUUGUUUUGAUUGUACAGUUUUGAUUUUGGUGUCAGAUUAUUUACAACAUACAGAAUUAUAUUCCUUCUAUGUUAAAUCCAAUUUAUUGGUGUCACAGGUCAAAACUGGUGUUUCUUGUGUGCUUCAAGAAAAAUGUCAAAUGAAUCAAUAAGAAAUGCAGGAUAUGUUAGUGUUUUCAGACGCAGGU